AGGAGAUUCUAAACUAAAUAAUCUUGCUGGAACAAUCUAGAAAAUUGAAAAGCUUGUGUGUCCAAGGAUAUUCAUGGUAAAAAACAAAUGACUAUUCCAUAGCCAAGGAUAAUAACCUCAAAUUGAAAUAAAAUAUUUGUAACAAUUUUAUUAAGAGAAAAAAAAAAGGAUAUAUGUGAGGUCGCAUAGUCAGAUGAGUUAUCACUUAUCUCCAAGAAAUUCCUUGAUUCUGUAGUCUUUUUCUUGUGUCAGUUAAGCAAAAUCUCAGAGACCAUAGAGCUACUCAGAAAGUUCAAAUUUGGAGAAAAGCUUGGUAGAAAUCAUCAGGUUCAAUUGUACUGCAAAAACUCCUAGGUGGAUGCUACAAUUUGAAUUACUUCAUGCACACACACAUUCAGCCUGAGAGCACAAAUCUGAAUGUAGGGAAAAAUGAAUCCAGACAUUGCUGAAAUCUCACACAGAAAAUCCACCCAAACAGCUGAUACAAAAUUUGAACGUCAUACCAAAAACUCUUCCAGGUUCCAACAAAAUGGGUGUGAUCCACCAAGAAACAUUUGUGGGCUAUAGAACAGAUAAAGACAAAAAGGAAAGUGGGAUAAAAAAAAGUAUGUUUAAUGAAUUAGAGCUGCUGAAUCUGAGAACUUGAAAUGAGGAUUUGCUAGGUUGAGGCAAAAAUGCACUACCUAGAGUUCAGAUCCAAGACAGCUAGCAGGGAAAAUUAAUUCCCAGAGAAGGAGUUGACUGAACCAGACCAGCAAGCCCAGCAUGUCUGAGUUAAUGCACAUCUUAUACCCAAAGAUUUCCUCCAACAACAUAUUUUGGUUUAUCUGACAGUCACACAUUGGUGACUUGGUGUCUUAGAUAAUCCAAGCUGUAUUUGACAUAAACAAAGUCCAUUCCUCACAAUUGAUAUUAUCCAAAAGGUGGGUCCGGUCAGGUAGAAGUCAAUUCUAAUGCCAAGAAAUUGCCAUAACAGAACUGAUGGCAUCCUAUGUUUUUGCAAACCCUAAACAAAGAG